ACAAAAAUACGCGCUCCCACAAAACUUUUGAGAAAAGCCGCAACAAAUGAUACAUGGGUCUCUUGCAGUUGAAAGUUGUUUGAUCCUUCAAUCUGAGGCGUCUACCUUAGGCCAAAUAUCUCUCCGAUCCUUGGAAAAACACUUACCGAAUAUGCUCACCAUAACCGCUGCAUACUCUUGGCCUCUGUGAGGAAUUUAUCCUCUGCCCUAAUUUCACUUACAGUUUUUAUUGAAUUCCUUUGAGUUCUACUUUGGAACUUCAGAAAAAUGAUGAUACAACACGACAAUUUCCUUAUUGCGAUAUUAAUUUGUUUUCUCAAAUCGCCCUGUCAAAAGCAAAUCUGCCUCACAUGCUCAACUUCGGAACAACACCUAUGACAAUCAUGGGAAUUUCCUGGUUCAGUAUUCUAAUUCUAUCAAUUCAAUGAUUUGUACGUUUAUCUUUUAUAGUUUCUCAAACUGCCUUUCUUAGUUAUCCAUCCCGUUUCAAAUUUUAGUCCAUGCCAUAACCUUGACCUAUUAAGUAUUAGAGAAGUGAAGAAAGAUUUGUAGGUUUUCAAAGUUUUUUUUUUUUUCCUUUGGAAAUAUGGAAUAGUAUUAGUUCUUCUACAUUUGUUCUCCAAAGCAACAUUCUAUUAUUGUUUAUAGAAGUCUGUUUCAUUUAGAACAAUUGUGCAUCCGAUAAGGAUUUAACCAAAUCUUACAAGGGUUCUCUCGUAUAUGUUGAAGCACUCUAUACUUUGAGUUCGUUCAUCUAAAUGCUUACACAUAGUUAAAAAAAUAACAUUGAAUCACGAAGAGGACAGAGAGAAAGAGAGUAUGUGCACACGCGUGUUUAUGAAAAUUGCAAGAUUUGACUAUCAUGGGAAUUUUUAUCCUGUUAAAAGAGAAUCUGCCUCAACUCCUCAAUUUCGGUACAACUUACGACAAUCAUGAGAAUUUUCUGGUUCAGUAUUUUAUCAGUUAAUUGAUUUGUAUGUUUAUCUUUGUAUUAUCUGAAUUUCCGACUUAUCAAAUCUUUCGUUACAGUGUGAUUUACUUGGAGGUGGACAUGGAAGGCAUUUAAAGGUUGCUGCAUACUCUGUUAGUAUCUUAUCAGUGUAAACAUGUGCUCCUUUUUUUCCCUUUUCCUCAAUGCUUUUGGCAUUUUGCUCUUACCCUUCUUGGUAAUGCCCUUGUAGUUUCAUUUGGCACUUCCUGGUUACUAUAUUAGUAGCUUACAACAGGUUGAUCUUAGGCAUCAGACCCAGCCAUCACUUGCUCCAAGAUUUCGGGAGCUGAAGUUUUUGUCAAGCUUUAUUCUUUAAUGAUUUGUAAUCAUUUGGCUAUUGGUGAUGAUAAUGUAUGGCAUUCCAAAUUCCCAACCUUGAGGGAUGCAAUAUCUCCUGAUGAAAUUAGGUGAUAGGACACGUCCUUUGAGGAAUAUGCUUUUGACUAUAUACAUUUAGAUCCAUUAAUGGUGGCGUAUAUGUCGAAAAGAAUUAAAAGCCAUUAUUAUGAUGUAAGAUACAUAUCUUCUCAGGAAGGCACUUCCUCAAAGCAAGUUUGAUCACCAAGAGUGAAGGAUGAAGGGCUAAAAGGAGUUUACAGCAUUACGAUGGGAUACAUUGACUACGUCAAAAUUAGUUGUUACUCCAACAAAAUACUAUGCUUCAUUUAUUUGAUUCUGUGAGAAGAGACUUUCAACUUCUUCCUUUACGGAGAUCAUUUGUAUACGCUCUAUCAGAAGUGGUUUGUUAAGUUUAGCUCAUAAACUAACUUAUUUACAUAUUGCAGAAUUUAUGCUUGAAUUACAAUAACAAGAACAUACGCCGUGUAAUCCCACAAAGUGGGAUCUGGGGAGGUUAAAGUAUACGCAGACCGUACCUCAUAGACUCCUUUUUCAAGGUUGAAUGAUGGUCAAAUUUCUUCAUUUCUUUUUUCCCCUACAUUCUUUAGGUAUCUUUCUGUUGAAAGCUGUGAUGCAAGCAAAAUAAGGUUUGUCACAAAACCUUAUAUCUUUAUGUUGAAAGCUGUCCAUUUCUACUUUGUAUCUUAUAUGUGUUUGUCUCCUUCUUUCUUUUUUUUUGGGGGGGGGGAUCCGUAAAAGUUUAAUCAUUUUUUUUAGCAGAUUAACGUUUGCACUUACUGCCAGGAGCACUCAAUUCUGGGAUGAAGAUUUCCAUCGGUCAGAACUCAAAAAACGUGUUAAGUAUAAUGUAACUCUUUGUUCAUAGACGUUGUAAUUAAAUUUGCUCAUACAUAUUCUAGAUACAGCCAGACCUCUCUAUAACGGCACCCGCAUAUAACAACACCUCUCUAUAACAACUAAGAUUUUUUGGAACCGAUUUUUUUAUGUUAUAUUUUACUUCUCUAUAACAGCAUUUCACCUAUAACAUCAACAACCAACUUUAUAGCAGUACGCUCUUUGUAAAAUUAUCUCCCAUAUAACAGCUAUCUUCUUUUUUUGGUAAUAUAAUAAUUAACCAUCUUUAUAAAAUAGAAUAUCUAUGAUUACCAAUAAUAAGAGUAGAAAUUUUGACUAAGUAUUUGAUCAUUUAAUACACUAUUUAUGACAAAAAACAUCAUAUGAGUAUAUAUAUAUUUUCAUCAUUAAACGAUUUUCCUCCUUUAUACAAAGUGUGAUUAAGCUUAAAAUUUGACAAUUAAAAAUAAAAAUUAGAUUUUAUGCAUCUUUUUUGCCUAUAACAGCGAAGUAUUAUUUAAAUGUCAAUGCUAUUAUAUGUAUAUUACAACUGAAAAAUUUCGAACCCAACCAUGCUAUUACAGGGAGGUUAGACUAUAUAUACUAAUAGCAAUUUCACUAUUUACCUUGACAAUACAAUUCUUCCAACUUUAUUUCUAUCAAUAUCUUCAUACAUUGAAGCUCAUCUUAAAAGUUCAUCUCAACAAAAGAGUGAAAUCGCGAGAAGUCUCCUUCAGUUUAAAAUAGUAUUUUGGUGAAGUGAUGGUUGUAGAUGCUGAGCCGCAGACAAGUUGCAACAUAGGAUUCUCCCCCAGAAAUAUUUGGGUGUGUUCUUCGAUUGUUACAUAUAUAUCAUAAUAAGUAGAUGUACUUCAGCCUAUAUUGAAAUCUGGCAAAUUAUAUUUUCUCUUUACUCUUACGCCUGGUGGUUUCUGCGUUUUCUUCUUUUGCCUUUUGGUUAUUAGAGUUAUAUCGAAGAAUGUGGUAAAACGUUGUACGUGGUGCAUUUAAACUUUCGGACAUGGGAGUACUCUUAGUUUUAGUAUGUUUAGUCUAAUUUUGGAAGGAAAACACAUUUUUACUAUAUUUAAAGGGCCGACUUCAAAUAAAUGGAGCAUAGGAAUAGAAUGGAAACAAAGAAAAAUGAAAGAAACAAAAUAACUGGAUGCAACAAGAACCAAAUAUAGUACUUUGAAACAAGGAGAAAGAAAUUAUAGUCUUUUAUCUUUCCCUUCCCAUUUUGAAAUAGGACAUGGUGUAGACUGUAAAGAACGGGAAGGUAAAAUUUUAUGUGUAUGUGAUAUCUAAUUUCCUAGAUUUUUGCAUUAAAAUAUCCCCUAAAUUUCUCCUAAUACGUCUAUUCGUAUUGUUCUAUUUCCUUAUUAAUAGGUGGCAUUCAUAACUGAAACACCACCACUUUAUUCCUGAAACGCUCAAUUUCCUUUCCUUUUUAAUUUCGUUCUAUUUCCCUUCUUCUCAGUUUUGUUUCCUCCCACGCAUAUGCAUUACCCAGAAACUGAGGUAGGCUCUUUCUUUCUUUCUUCCUUUCGUUUUGCCGGAGAAUCAUAGGCAAAGCAGAGAGAGGGAUUACCAAAAGAACUCCCAUAAUCUAUCUGUUGCCUCAUUCUGGCCAUUUCUGGGCUAAUCUAACAAAAGGGAAUACACAAGACUUGAAGGGUCUUUUCGCCCAAUUCUUCUCUUGAGGCUCAGAUCUGUGAUAAAAUCAGGCAAAGAGACAAGCAACCGCCAUGGCUGCGGACACAGAUUGGACUUUUGCGAGUCUUAAGUUGAGUGAUGUAAUUCAUAUAUAAUCCACUAUAUAUUUUAUCCUAAAGUACUAACAUGGGUUAGUUUAAACUACAUGGCGGUCGCGAGUCUCAAGUUGACGGACUGUUUGCUACUCUUUGUGUAUUCUCUGGCUGAAACCUUCUUCCUUAUCGAAUUAUUGGGAAUUUUCAAGUUCCACUAUACUGGCAGAUGCGGAGCCAAAGUUGUAUGUAAGAGAGAUUGGCUUUGGGAGCAAGAAGGUAAAUCGUUCUACGCAUAUUAUAGCUUUGUUUUAUUCUGUUGUAAUGGUGUUCCAAUGAAAAAAUUACCUUUUUUGGUUGUUCUUAUAAGAUUGCAGUGAAUCAGAGUCCGAAGAGGCUGAAAUUGCAGUAGACCGUCAGCCUAUCUUCAUAAACUUGGUUCGCAUUGAUAGGUAAUGUUGUGUAGAAACAAUUAUGAACAAUUGUGGCUAGCUUAUCUAAUGCGUUGAUGCACUCUGUUUAUUUGAAAUUUCAAGGGUAUGUAGCAACUGAAAUGGUUCUUGGUUUUUUAAUUACGGUGGUGAAAAAAAUGUGUGCAUAGCGAGCACAAUAUUUUUAUAAAAUCAUUUAGGAUCGCAGGGGAUAGAUGUAACGAACGUCCAGAAUCUGUGUUUCGACGCCAAUUCCUAUCG